rnacentral:lncRNA from 1 species
GAGGAGCAGCCCAGGCGGACAAGGCACCGGACAGAGAACGGGCCUCUGUGGGCAGGUGCUGAGGACCCACGGGCAGCCAGCAGGUGGCUAAGAUCACUGCCUCCUUCGCCGGCUUUCUGGACCAGGGCCACCCAGCCCCCCAGUCCCAGCUCCUUCGGGCCUGGGAUGGGGAAAGGAGGCAGGGCAGAGCCCAGGACGAGGGAAGGCCGGUCCUGUCUGGACGCAAGGGGUCGGGCACCACCUCGUCUUCAGACCCUCGUAGGACAAGACGUCUACAGACACUGGCCCAUGAACGGCAGGGAAACUGAGGACAAAUCCCCACCCAUACUUCAAGAUCCAACAGCCCCACGCUGCAUACAGCUCAGCAACACCCCCGAUCCUUCUGGCCCGCUCAGCUCGAACCUGCAGAGGCUCCUCAGUCCCCUCCCUGUCUGCCUAGCUCAGAGUCUGAAUCCUGCGAAGGUCCAUCCACACAGUGGGAUAGGGUUCAGCCAUGAAAAAGAGGGUGAAAUUCUGGCACCCGCUAAGACGUGGAGGAACCUUGAGAAGCUUGUGCCGAGUGCAGAAAGGCAGACAUAAAAGGUCCUACGUUGUGUAAAAUUUCAUUUAUGUGAAAUACCCAGAAUGGGUAAACCCACAGAAACAGAAUAGAGACUGGUGGCUGCCAGGGGCGGGGGAUGGGGUAGGGAAAAGUUUCUCACAGGCCACAGUUGCACAACAUUGCGAAGGCACUAAACGCCAAUGCUCACUUUAAAACGGUAAUUUUAGGGGCGCCUAGGUGGCUCAGUGGGUUAACUGUCCAACUCUUGAUCUCGGCUCAGGUCAUGAUCUCACGGUUCGUGGGUUCGAACUCCACGUCGGGCUGUGUGCUGACAGCUUCCGAGCUGGAACCUGCUUCAGAUUCUGUGUCUCCCUCUCUCUCUGCCCCUCCCCUGCUCGUGCUCUGUCUCAAAAAUAAAUAAACGGUAAAAAAAAAAAAAAUUCUUUUC